UGGGGAAUUUUGGACAAUGGGCGCAAGCCUGAUCCAGCCAUGCCGCGUGCAGGAUGAAGGCCUUCGGGUUGUAAACUGCUUUUGUACGGAACGAAAAGACUCUGGUUAAUACCUGGGGUCCAUGACGGUACCGUAGGAAUAAGCACCGGCUAACUACGUGCCAGCAGCCGCGGUAAUACGUAGGGUGCGAGCGUUAAUCGGAAUUACUGGACGUAAAGCGUGCGCAGGCGGUGAUGUAAGACAGAUGUGAAAUCCCCGGGCUCAACCUGGGACCUGCAUUUGUGACUGCAUCGCUGGAGUGCGGCAGAGGGGGAUGGAAUUCCGCGUGUAGCAGUGAAAUGCGUAGAUAUGCGGAGGAACACCGAUGGCGAAGGCAAUCCCCUGGGCCUGCACUGACGCUCAUGCACGAAAGCGUGGGGAGCGAACA
rnacentral:rRNA from 1 species